AGUCCCGGCUAGGGACACAGCUCUUAGACUUUGAGCUAGACAACCAGGAGGGCAGGAGGACCUAGUUUCCUGCCUCCAUCAUCCCAUCAUUUACGCAAAUCCUGGAUGCAGGAUGCUGUCUGCCCUGUUAAAUGCUGUGUGAACCCAGAUGGAAGCUGAGCAGACAUCACACUCGUGAGCAUCUCCCCUUCCCAUGCUGAGAUUAAAGGCAUGUGUCAUCACCACCUGAACAACAGCAGCUUUCUAAGGGACCAGUAAGGCACUACAGACUUUUCAUAUAACAUCGCCUUCAUUCUCUCACGACUAAUUCUACAAAACAGAUGUUAUACGACCUCAUUUGCUGAAAUCAAAGAUGCAGAGGGGCCAAGGGGUGGGCUCCGGACCUCACAGCAGCAUGGCGGAUUCAACAAGCCCAGAAUAGCCUCUUCCUUGCUCACAAUAAGAUUAAGCCAACUGCCUCUUCAUUCCUCAGCCACACUCCUCCUCUGACCCUGCUCCAGGUGGCUCAUCUUGUCAGACUUCACACUGAAUGAGCGCUGAGGAUGCUGUAAAGUAUGAGCUGUGUGCAGGUUUCAAAAGCAAUUUGUGCCCCUGAAACAAGCCAAUCAGCAGAGAAGGAACAAAAGAAACAUGGUGUCUUCUACCUCCAGCCUUGAAGCUUCCAGACCUCCCCACACGCACCCCCCACACCCACCCCCGAAAUGCUUUCCCAGUGAAGAGCCAGGCUCUUAUCCUUCCAUCCAUG